rnacentral:rRNA from 1 species
CCUACGGGAGGCAGCAGUGAGGAAUAUUGGUCAAUGGACGAGAGUCUGAACCAGCCAAGUAGCGUGAAGGAUGACUGCCCUAUGGGUUGUAAACUUCUUUUAUAAAGGAAUAAAACGAGGCACGUGUGCCUUUUGCAUGUACUUUAUGAAUAAGGAUCGGCUAACUCCGUGCCAGCAGCCGCGGUAAUACGUAGGAUCCGAGCGUUAUCCGGAUUUAUUGUGUGUAAAGGGAGCGUAGAUGGGUUGUUAAGGCAGUUGUGAAAGUUUGCGGCUCAACCGUAAAAUUGCAAUGGAUACUGGCAGUCUUGAGUACAGUUGAGGUAGGCGGAAUUCGUGGUGUAGCGGUGAAAUGCUUAGAUAUCACGAAGAACCCCGAUUGCGAAGGCAGCUUACUAAACUGUGACUGACAUUGAUGCUCGAAAGUGUGGGUAUCAAACAGGAUUAGAUACCCGGGUAGUC